GACGAACGCUGGCGGCGUGCCUAAUACAUGCAAGUUGAGCGAUGAAGAUUGGUGCUUGCCCCAAUUUGAAGAGCAGCGAACGGGUGAGUAACGCGUGGGGAAUCUGCCUUUGAGCGGGGGACAACAUUUGGAAACGAAUGCUAAUACCGCAUAACAACUUUAAACAUAAGUUUUAAGUUUGAAAGAUGCAAUUGCAUCACUCAAAGAUGAUCCCGCGUUGUAUUAGCUAGUUGGUGAGGUAAAGGCUCACCAAGGCGAUGAUACAUAGCCGACCUGAGAGGGUGAUCGGCCACAUUGGGACUGAGACACAGCCCAAACUCCUACGGGAGGCAGCAGUAGGGAAUCUUCGGCAAUGGACGAAAGUCUGACCGAGCAACGCCGCGUGAGUGAAGAAGGUUUUCGGAUCGUAAAACUCUGUUGGUAGAGAAGAACGUUGGUGAGAGUGGAAAGCUCAUCAAGUGACGGUAACUACCCAGAAAGGGACGGCUAACUACGUG
rnacentral:rRNA from 1 species